rnacentral:miRNA from 1 species
CACCUCAUUGAUUGGAAGGAAUUCCUUCCAGUCAAUGGGGUUGUUAUACCUCAUUGAUCUGAAGGAAAUCCUUCUGGUCAAUGAGGUAUAACAACCUCAUUGACCGGAAGAAAUCCUUCCAAUCGAUGAGGUAUAACAACCCCAUUGACCUGAGGGAAUAUCUUCCAAUCAAUGAGGCA